GAGCGCGCCUUCGUGGUGACCGGCGGGUGGGUUAGUAACGCGUGGGAACGUGCCCUUCUCUACGGAAUAGCCUCUGGAAACGGAGAGUAAUACCGUAUACGCCCUUUGGGGGAAAGAUUUAUCGGAGAAGGAUCGGCCCGCGUUAGAUUAGGUAGUUGGUGGGGUAACGGCCUACCAAGCCUACGAUCUAUAGCUGGUUUUAGAGGAUGAUCAGCAACACUGGGACUGAGACACGGCCCAGACUCCUACGGGAGGCAGCAGUGGGGAAUCUUAGACAAUGGGGGCAACCCUGAUCUAGCCAUGCCGCGUGAGUUGAUGAAGGCCUUAGGGUCGUAAAGCUCUUUCGCCUGUGAUGAUCAUGACAGUAGCAGGUAAAGAAACCCCGGCUAACUCCGUGCCAGCAGCCGCGGUAAUACGGAGGGGGUUAGCGUUGUUCGGAAUUACUGGGCGUAAAGCGCGCGUAGGCGGAUUAGAAAGUUGGGGGUGAAAUCCCGGGGCUCAACCCCGGAACUGGCUCCAAAACUGCUAGUCUAGAGUUCGAGAGAGGUGA
rnacentral:rRNA from 1 species